CCUACGGGAGGCAGCAGUGGGGAAUAUUGGACAAUGGGGGCAACCCUGAUCCAGCCAUGCCGCGUGUGUGAAGAAGGCCCUCGGGUUGUAAAGCACUUUCAGUGAGGAAGAACGCCUGGUGGUUAAUACCCAUCAGGAAAGACAUCACUCACAGAAGAAGCACCGGCUAACUCCGUGCCAGCAGCCGCGGUAAUACGGAGGGUGCGAGCGUUAAUCGGAAUUACUGGGCGUAAAGCGCGCGUAGGUGGCUUGAUAAGCCGGUUGUGAAAGCCCCGGGCUCAACCUGGGAACGGCAUCCGGAGCUGUCAAGCUAGAGUGCAGGAGAGGAAGGUAGAAUUCCCGGUGUAGCGGUGAAAUGCGUAGCGAUCGGGAGGAAUACCAGUGGCGAAGGCGGCCUUCUGGACUGACACUGACACUGAGGUGCGAAAGCGUGGGUAGCAAACAGGAUUAGAUACCCCUGUAGUC
rnacentral:rRNA from 1 species